rnacentral:rRNA from 1 species
UACGGGGGGGGUAAGCGUUGUUCGGAAUUACUGGGCGUAAAGCGCACGUAGGCGGAUUGUUAAGUCGGGGGUGAAAUCCUGGAGCUCAACUCCAGAACUGCCUUCGAUACUGGCGAUCUCGAGUUCGGGAGAGGUGAGUGGAACUGCGAGUGUAGAGGUGAAAUUCGUAGAUAUUCGCAAGAACACCAGUGGCGAAGGCGGCUCACUGGCCCGAUACUGACGCUGAGGUGCGAAAGCGUGGGGAGCAAACAGG